AAACCACGCGCUCGUUCUUCAACUUGCUCUGAACUGUCGCUCGUACUACUCCUCUGUAUUGUGGAGCUGGAUAGUCUCGACGGCGCAAACCGGUGGCAGAGGACGGGUCGGACUCGCUUGAAUCGUCUCAGAGCUGCGUCGACCUUUCGGACCUUGCGAUCGUUGUGUCGUCGUGGGAAGAUGCGUUAGAGUUGUUGGGUUGUGCUGCGUUCACGGCAGCAGCGGCGGCGGCGCUGAUAUUGUUGGGAAACGUCAUCGUCGCGGAAGCUUCGACUUCGCCUUCGGCGUUUGUACAGAACGUCAUCUACUCAACAAGAUUGCCAUCUUCUCCAAUUCCUAUUGCCCCUCCUUGCAGUGCUUGUAGCAAUUGAUGGUGUGGGUGCUUUUCUGUGGUGGGCGAGGCAGGAUAUGGUUCAAGACAGUGUAAGGCUACUUCUAUUUUUUAUCUUGCUCACUUCUUAAAGCUCAUAGUUUUCUUCAACUGUGGUAUCAAAAAUCUAUUGUUGCCUAGUGAAAACACAACCCAAGUUGUUGAGUGCCUUAAUUUCCAUCCUCUCAAUUUGAUGAUUCCCUCUACCAGUUUGGCACCUACAAGUGACUGGUAAAACCUUUUUUAUUAUUUAUGUCAGGUUCAGUUAUAUUUUUAAAAAUAUAUUAGGUCUUACAUGAUGUUUUGGCAUUUGUGGACGGUUAAUUUAUCAAUUUACAGAUCUUCUAGUGGAUAGUGUACCGUGUACCGUGUACUGAAACGCUCUAUGAUUUUUCUUUUAUUUGGAGUUGACAAUUAAGUAAUAUUGGCGUGCUCUUGAUUUCAAAAAACUGUAUCACAGGUGCUAUAUAAACAGGUAAUCUGGAUUGGUGUUGGAUAGUUUCCAUGAAUAGGCAUGUAGAAAUCUAUUGUGUUAUAAUGAGUUCAUUCUUUCCCAUGUGAGAUGUAUCAGAUAAAUGCAUGAUAUGUAUAGGAUGUUUGGAAAAGGUUUGAGUACGCAAGUGAAACUCUUUCAUGUAACAAUUCACGAACGCUUCAUCCACAUCUUGUAAUCAAGUAAUGUCAGAGUAACAUCCUGAGGGUGAUUUUCAAUUGUGAAGUUUUAUUUAUUUCU